GAUUAACGCGAAGAACCUUACCUACCCUUGACAUGGUCGGAAUCCCGCUGAGAGGUGGGAGUGCUCGAAAGAGAACCGGCGCACAGGUGCUGCAUGGCUGUCGUCAGCUCGUGUCAUGAGAUGUUGGGUUAAGUCCCGCAACGAGCGAAACCCUUGUCCUUAGUUGCUACGCAAGAGCACUCUAAGGAGACUGCCGGUGACAAACCGGAGGAAGGUGGGGAUGACGUCAAGUCCUCAUGGCCCUUAUGGGUAGGGCUUCACACGUCAUACAAUGGUCGGAACAGAGGGUUGCCAACCCGCGAGGGGGAGCUAAUCCCAGAAAGCCGAUCGUAGUCCGGAUUGCACUCUGCAAUUCGAGAGCAUGAAGCUGGAAUCGCUAGUGAUCGCGGAUCAGCAUGCCGCGGUGAAUACGUUCCGGGCCUUGUACACACCGAAUCACUAGU
rnacentral:rRNA from 1 species